GCGCUCUAAAAAGCUCCGACUUCAGACAUCACCUGCAGAUGCUCAUGCCCUCGGUAGAUUAGAACCCCACAAAAACAAACGCAUUCUACUACAAGUCUUUCUACUAGAAGUCUUCUUUAGACUUCUA